UAAAAUGGUAUUUUUGUAUUAUUUUUAAUUUCCAAUUUCUGACUAUUCCUUUUACCCAAAAAAUAAAGUUAAAAAAUAGAAACUAAAAAUUAAAAAAUCUUAUUCCAAUCCUUAGUCAAACUAAAAAAUUAAAAUUAGUUCUUAUUCCUAAAAACUUGAAUUUUUUUUUUAAAAAUAUUUUAUUCAUAUUUUAAUUAAUUUAAAAUUAAAAAAUACAUAUAUAAAUAC
rnacentral:lncRNA from 1 species